UGUGCGUCUGAGUCAUGGGCCACCCUGGAC
rnacentral:piRNA from 1 species